GCCCGAGCGGUAUUUGUCUUUCGGGACAGAGAGAGCGGCGUACGGGUGCGGAACACGUGUGCAACCUGCCUUUAUCAGGGGGAUAGCCUUUCGAAAGGAAGAUUAAUACCCCAUAAUAUUUAGAAUGGCAUCAUUUUAAAUUGAAAACUCCGGUGGAUAGAGAUGGGCACGCGCAAGAUUAGAUAGUUGGUGAGGUAACGGCUCACCAAGUCUGCGAUCUUUAGGGGGCCUGAGAGGGUGAUCCCCCACACUGGUACUGAGACACGGACCAGACUCCUACGGGAGGCAGCAGUGAGGAAUAUUGGACAAUGGGUGGAAGCCUGAUCCAGCCAUCCCGCGUGAAGGAUGACGGCCCUAUGGGUUGUAAACUUCUUUUGUAUAGGGAUAAACCUAGAUACGUGUAUCUAGCUGAAGGUACUAUACGAAUAAGCACCGGCUAACUCCGUGCCAGCAGCCGCGGUAAUACGGAGGGUGCAAGCGUUAUCCGGAUUUAUUGGGUUUAAAGGGUCCGUAGGCGGAUCUGUAAGUCAGUGGUGAAAUCUCACAGCUUAACUGUGAAACUGCCAUUGAUACUGCAGGUCUUGAGUGUUGUUGAAGUAGCUGGAAUAAGUAGUGUAGCGGUGAAAUGCAUAGAUAUUACUUAGAACACCAAUUGCGAAGGCAGGUUACUAAGCAACAACUGACGCUGAUGGACGAAAGCAUGGGGAGCGAACAGGGAUUAGAUACGCUGGG
rnacentral:rRNA from 1 species